rnacentral:snRNA from 1 species
GGAUGUGAGAGUGAUCUGGCUGCGACAUCUGUCACCCCAUUGAUUGCCAGGGUUGAUUCGGCUGAUCUGGCUGGCUAGGCGGGUGUCCCCUUCCUCCCUCACCGCUCCAUGUGCGUCCCUCCCUAAACUGCAUGCUUGGUUGAAGAGGAUGGCCUUCCCUGAAUAAAGAUGGACUGGUCUUCGGUAGAGGGUAUUCGAGUAGCUGCACUCCCCUGCUAGAACCUCCAAACAAGCUCUCAAGAGUUAAUAACACACACACACACACACACACACACACACACACGAGUUAAUAAUAGAGCUAAACUAUUGU